rnacentral:rRNA from 1 species
UACGUAGGGUGCAAGCGUUAAUCGGAAUUACUGGGCGUAAAGCGUGCGCAGGCGGCGAUGUAAGUCAGGUGUGAAAUCCCCGGGCUCAACCUGGGAACUGCAUUUGUGACUGCAUCGCUGGAGUACGGGAGAGGGGGAUGGAAUUCCGCGUGUAGCAGUGAAAUGCGUAGAUAUGCGGAGGAACACCGAUGGCGAAGGCAAUCCCCUGGGCCUGUACUGACGCUCAUGCACGAAAGCGUGGGGAGCAAACAGG